rnacentral:lncRNA from 1 species
GGGGUAAGGGAGGAGUGAGCCUGGGUGCUGUGGGGGGAGGGGGUUGUUCAAGGGAUGGGGACGAUCAGGGUCUCUGGGAAGUGCUGACGUGUGCGCGUGUGCGGUGUGUUGCUUGUGGGUGCGUGUGUGGUGUGUGCAUGUGUGUGCGCGCGCGUGUGUGCGGGGUGUGCCGUGAGCGUGUGCCCGCGGUUCGGGGGAUGAGUAGGGGCGCUGACUUUUAGGACCAGCCAUUUGAGUCAAGCUGGAGACGACGUCUUAGAACCUAGGAUGAGUCUCGUUUGGUUUUAGUCUGCAAAGCUCGUCUGCAUCAGACAGGAAUUUUCCCCAGACGCGGGUGCACGUGAAUUAAUUCAUCAGAAGGCGGUUCACGGCCUGAGUGAGGGGGACGAGGGCGGCGAAUUCCUCCGCCUCAUUCCUACCCUGACGAUUCGAGCCUUAGCAAGUUCUGGCCUGUGGAGCCGUCAUCCAGAGCGCACAGCUUCAUGCCCUUGAAGGGCGCAGUGUGUCCCGUGGUGCCCGGUGGGCCCGGACAGAGACCCCAGAGGCUCUGUCUGAAGGAAGCUGCACCCACAGACUCCAUCCAGGCAGCGCGGGCGCGGUCCUGUCGCCUACCUUUCUCGGAAGCCAUCUGCCCAUGUGAAUCUAUGUGAAGGCCCUUCAUGCGCUCCUGGACAUCUGCGUGGGAUUUACUUCAACUGCUAUCGCUGCGAGGAGGACGAGCAUGUUUCACUGUAUUUUUAGCAGAGAGUGCAGAUUUUAGAACCUCGCGAACGGUCCUGUAUCUCCUGCACGAUGACUCUCCAGAACAGGAAUAGUGACCCUUCCUUUGCAUUUAUGGUGCAUAGGUUUUCAAAGGACAGUGUGUAAAUCAGCUUGUGUAAUAAUUGUGGCACCCACGCGCGCAAGCAGACUUACCAUGAGCUGACUUCCACUGAUUAUUUCAGUUUCCAGGGAAACGAGGUUUGCAGCCCCCUCCAGUGAGGGCGGAGCGGCCUCUCCAUUCCCAAUGCAGCAAGGCUGCUGCAGCCACGAUGAUUAGGCUUUGGAGGAGGAAGUGAACGGAUGGGGCCUCAUCCUCCUGCCUCCCUAAAGGAUGCUCGCUUCACCCCACUGAGAUGUAACUCAGUUUUGUGGGAUCCCACUGCCCUCCAGGUGCCGCUCCGAGUGCUCUACACAGAUUUUCAUUCAGUCCUUGCGGCACACGAAGGGAUGGCCUCUGCACUUCAGCUGGUUUCUGACACCUAAAAACAGAAGUGGAAAAGGGAGCAGACGCAGCCACAUUUUGAAAGCUGAUUCGGUUGCUUUCUGGCAGAAUCCCUGCCCCCAAGCACCUGCCAGGCCCACCCAUGAAGCCUCUUCCCACGCCUUAACUCUGCCCCAUGAGGGGACCUCAAGCAGUUGCAGUCUAGUCAGGUGAUUUGCAGAGCUCAGGGCUCAGGGAGGGGCACCCACCUCAGAAAAAAGCGCCGUGCUCAUGAGAAAUGACUUCUACAGGUUGUUGGGGAAAGAGGAGUUAUUUUAAAGAUCACAGAGCCCGUGAUGUGCCAGGCGCACCCACACAGGGCAUAUAGUCCCCGCAGCUGCCUCUGUGCUGGGGCCACGUCACCGUCCUGUCCUAAAGACAAGCAAUGUGAAGCCCAGAGAUGGUAUCUUAAAACAAUCGUGUGGUUUUUUUCUGAUUACAACAGCAAUUGUGUUAAUCCAACAAUAUUUUUCCUAUCAACUGUAAACCUUAUUUUAAUAUUUACAUAUUUAUUAGCAUUUAAAAUUCAAUCUCCUAGAAUAUUGACUUCAAUUAGUUUGGCUGAUUCUAAUUUUUUUUUUCUAAUUUGUUUAUCACUUAACUUUUUAAGUACUUUUUUUUUUUAGACAGAGUCUUGCUCUGUCACCCAGGCUGGAGUGCAGUGGUGCAAUCUCGGCUCACUGCAACCUCUGCCUCCUGGGCUCAAGCGAUUCUCCUGCCUCAACCUCCCGAGUAGCUGGGACUACAGGCUCACACCACCAUGCCCAGCUAAUUUUUAUAUUUUUAGUAGAGAUGGGGUUUCACCAUGUUGUCCAGGCUGGUCUCGAACUCCUGACCUCAAGUGAUCCCCCACCUCAGCCUCCCAAAGUGCUGGGAUUACAGGUGUGAGCCACCGUGCCUGGCCUGUUUUUAGUACUUUUAUCCUUUAUCUUUUUAACUACGUAAGUACUCAACAUUUUAAAUUAUUAAUCUUCACCAUGUUAUUUCCAAGAACAAUCACGAUUGAUCUUUCAGUUACACAGCCACGGUGUGUGCCUCUCUGUGUAACUCUGCACAGCUGGUGAUUUACUGAAAGAACUUACUCUCAUAAAACCACAGCCAGCGAGUUCUCAGAGACACAAUAAUGCACCUUAAUUAUGAGUUUAAAAGCUCUUGUCUUGUGAAAUGUAAUCGAUCCACAGAAAAAUCAUAAAGUAUACAUGUAAUAGCUUAAUGACUUAUAAAUGAAGAUCUGUAUACUUCCCACUCGAAAAACGGAAUAUUGCAGGAUUUGAGUACACAACCCGUACCUUUCCAACGACAGCCUCCCUCCCACCAGAGCUUCUGCUGAGUUCACUUGAAAUCACUUCCUUGCAUUUAUUUAUACUUUUAUUACCUUGAGGUGCAUCCCUAACCAUUCUAGUUCGAUUUUGCCUGGUGUUUGAACUUUAUAUUAAUGGAAUCAUAGGACAUAAUUCUUAUAUCUCUGGUUUCUUUCAUUCAACUUUGUGUCUGCGAAAUGUAUCCAUGUUGCAUGCAACGGGGGCUCAUUCAUCGCUGGUUACUGAUUCACUGCAUGAGUAUGACACAGUUUAUUAACCAUUUCACUGCUGAUGAACAUUUGAUCAUUUCUAGUUUGGGAAUAUUAUUAAUAAUUUUUGAACCUUCUUAUUUGUGUGCCCUGAUGUACAUGGACAUGCAUUUUAGGGGUGUAUACUUAGGGAAAUUGCCGGUUCAUGAGUAACACCUAUCUUCAGGUAUUACUUUUUGUGCCCUUUUAUGCUGAACUACAAUUUACGUGCAAUACCAAUCAUUCAUAUUAAGUGUACAACUCAGUGAGUUUAGACAACUGGACACCUUGUUGUGAGUCACCACCACCGAGAUGAUCCAGCACUGUCCCAACUCCCCCCAAGUUCUCCUUUGCAGGCACCCUCUCCCUCCAUUCUGGGCACAGGCAACCAUGAACCACUAUCUGUCACCGUAGCUUUAGUAUAAAAUUUCACAUACAUGGACUCAGGGAGCAUAGAGUCUUUCCUGUCUGGCUUCUUUCCGCUGGCAAAAUGCUUGGAGACUUUUCCACGUUGCUGCAUGAAUCAAUGGAUCAUUUGUUUUCGUGGCUGAGCAGAAUUCCACCAACAUUUGUUUACUCAUCCAUGAAAUGAUGGACAUUUGGUGUUUUUCCAUUGAGAUUGUUAUGAAUAAUGCUGCUAUUGUCAUUCAAGGACAAGUCUUCUGUGAACAUCUGUUUUCACUUCUCUUGGGUACAUCCUUAGAAGUGGUAUUGCUGGACUGUAUCAAAAGUUAAUAUUUAACUUUCAGGAAACUUACAAACUGUUUUCCAGAGUGGCUGUACCAUUUUGCAUUCCCAGACCGAAGUGUGAAAGCUCCAGAUGCCCCACGCCCUCACCAGCCCACGGUGUUGUCAGCCUUAAUAGUGCUGACCAUUCUGCCUGUUAAUAUGAUGAAUUACACUGAUUCAGUUUCAAAUGUCCAACCAAGCUUGCACUCCAGAGAUGAAGCCCACUUGAUCACAUGGAUUAUUCUUUUAAUAUAUGAUGGAUACGACUUGGCUGUUCUUUUGUUGAGGAUUUUUGUGUUUAUGUUAAUGAGGAUAUUAUUUGUAGUUUUCUUUUCUUGUAAUGUUUUUGUCUUUGUUCAGUGUCAGAGUAAUGCCAACUUCAUAAAGUGAGCUGGGAAGUA